rnacentral:lncRNA from 1 species
CGAAAUUAAAUUAACUUCAGGACAAACAAAAGAAAGAAAUGUACCUUUUUUCGCACGCCAUGCGUGGUACUUGGUACAAUCCUUCUUCACAUGAUUAGUCCCCUUACAGAAAAAAACAACCUAAUUCAGUAAUUUCAACCUUAGGUUCCUUAUGUUGCUUAUUCUUGAGCCUUACAACCGCAACUUCCUUACCUUUCCUCUUCUUCAUAUCCUUAGAAGAGGAUGCCAAAUGAGCACUUUCAGUCUUAUCUUGCUUUAUCCUUUCCUCCUCUUGCAC